AAGUCGUAACAAGGUUACCGUAGGUGAACCUGCGGUAGGAUCAUUUCCAACAAAAACCAUACCAACCCACGUGUGAUCACAGAUUGUUAUUUACUCUUCAUCCCAAGGCAGUGUGGGGAUUGAGUUUGUUGUUGUGUGUGUGUCGUUGUACACACUAUACCUACGACGCUCACGAACCGUGUGCCGGCCGGGUGGAGAGGCCUUGUUGAACUACCUUGUCAAAAGGUUGAUUGCUGUCGUUUUUGGCUUACACAAAACCAAAAUGAUCAGACAACUUUUAACGGUGGAUCUCUUGGCUCGU
rnacentral:misc_RNA from 1 species